rnacentral:tRNA from 1 species
GGAGAGGUGUCCGAGUUGGUUUAAGGAGUUAGUUUCGAAAACUAAUAUAUAGAAAACUAUAUCGUGGGUUCGAAUCCCACUCUCUCCA